rnacentral:lncRNA from 1 species
UUGGAUCCUUUUCUUUAUUUAUUUGAUGAUUAUAUUUGAUAUUUAAGGACUGUCAACAAACUCCCUCAAGCUUACCUCUUGCUCAUCCCUGAGCAAGGAUAGUCUCAGUGAUGGAUCAGAAGUUGCUAUAAUGCCUUAAAAUGUUGACGGUACACAUGCUUUCAAAUGAGGUCUCGUCUCUGAGUUAGAGUAAACUGUUAAGACUUUAAACUUACUCAUUUUACCUUUCACUAUGGGGCUUGCAACCGUCACUUAUGUCUUGAGCAGUUAAAAGAUAGAACGGUCUAGCCAAGCGCCAUGUCUCUUAUUCUUUAUCAGCUAUUGCUCUGGAGUUUUUGUAGUUUUUCAAAUAAAACUCAAAGAUUCCUUUGUAUGACUCUCUCAGAUCUCUCUUUUAUGGUAUUUCUGGAUCCUUACCAAGGCAGUUAUGGUAUAUGUCUUCUCUCAAAGUAUGUGGUAUUUGUAGUAUAAGGCAUACUGACAUUGCCUUCUCUCUCAUCCUACUCUAAUAAGGCUUUGAUAUCUGGAGCUCAUAGGUGGGAGAUAAAGUAUACAUACUUACAAGACAUUUAUUGCAUAGUCAAACCAAGGAUCUAGAGAAACAAGUCAAUAAGUCAAAUCAAGAUGUGCAUGUGUGGCGAAUGAAUGGUGUAUGGUGAUGAUGGUGAAAGUCUAAUUCUACUUUUGCUCUUUUGAGGGGAUACAUACCUUCCUUGCACUUUGAUGUUUUUUGAGGAGAAUGAGAUGCUCUAUAUAUUUUUUUUUCUUUUCUCUCAGGUGGGUAUCUUGUACCCCUAAUUCUACUGUCGGACACUUGUCCAUUUUUACCUCUCGUCUCACUUUUUCUUUUCUUUGAGGUUUCGGGCACCUGCCCCAUUUUAUUUCCUCGUAUUCAUUUUUUUUUCAGAGCACUCAUCUCCCUGGAAUAAUAUAGCAAGUGGUAGUAACCAAGAUAACUUGAGCAUUUAUUUCAUAGGGAAUAACAGGGAUAGGAGAAUGUUUUUGGUUAUUCUCUCCUAGAUAGGAGUAGAAUAAUUUUAGGUGGAUCUGGAGAUGGAAAUGAGUGGAUGUAUGUGGAUGCGUACUUCUGGAGUAGAAGCAGCAUAUAUGAGUGAACGUGCAAGUGGAUCUUGAUUUUAACCGCAUGACAAGCUCCUAAGGGUCUACACAGCUUGACCAAACUCAAUGCUCAUAAGCAGUAAAAAGUAAAUGUAAGGUUUAUAGUCUAGCAAGCAUGUAUGUAUGGUUGUGGUAGGAAUUUAAACUCUCAUCAUAUAGGAACUCAUCAUGUGAUAUUCUAAAGAUUUUCAAAGAUAAAAUUCUCUAGAAUUCUAACAUCUCUAGGAACAGAUAAACAACAGCUCAACCUUCCCAUAUCAUAUCCGUUGACAACUUAGACUUUAGAUCAAGUUCUCUUCCCACAACUUCAGGUUUAGAGCAAGCUUUAAAUUAUAACAGUUAUGUCUAAACUUGAGAGAGAGAGCUUCAAAUUUGAAAAUUAGGCAGAGCAACUAUUCAUCAUAUCCAUGCUAGAGUUUUAUUAUUAAGAUUCAGUUUAGCAUAGCUACUUUAUUUAUUUAUUAAGCAAACUACGCAAAGAUAUAUAUAAGCACAAAAUAUUUAUUUGGGUUUUCAUGAUUAUGUAUCUUUUUAUUUUAAUAUAGUUUAAGUAUAAAUAUGGAUAGAAAUACUUAGCGGGAUAAAUGGGGGUGCUCUCCCCCAAGCUAGAUCUUGACGUAAUUACUUUUGAUGUAGCUAGCAGGUGGCAGAGAUGUAUUUGAAUGUCGGCAGCACCCUGACAGCGAUUAGGAUAUCCUCCGUCUGCUAGUCUUCUUUGAAUUCUGUGGAGCUCAAAUAGACAACAAAGCUUUGUGGAACUCAUUAAGUGUUAGCAUCGAUACCUAGCCUUUAUCAUGUUGAGCUUCCUCAAUAAGUGUUACUCUCUAUUUUUAUAUUUUCAUUUUAUGGAGCAGGAAAAAUUAUUUUUUUUUGUUUUUUUGUGCCACCACAGUGAAUGUACUUAUGGGUUUUAUGCCACGAGCAUACUCACAUGGGGCUUACUGUUUUUAACAUUUUUAUUUUCUUUUUAAGAUAGUAUGAACCGGAUUAACUAAACAAGCUUUUUAAGAAAAAGUAAAUAAUAGAAGGGAAAGUGAUAACUACCAAGUUUACCUCUUGGCACGGUUUUUGGUGUUUUUAAGUCCUCCGAACGGGACUCCUUGUGUUCUCAGUCGUCCUGGGAUUCGCUGGAUGGCGUACGGCGGUGCCUCCUCUUCGUGUAGAACUAUCGUUUCUCUCCACACCUGACUUGGUGCUAUGGUCUCUUGUUCAAGCUGUAUGUCCUCAGACCUUACUACCUCUCCUUCGUCGUCUACCCAUCCGUCCUUGAUGUUUUGCCUCCUCUGAUUGCGGUUGCAUUGCCUUCUUAUCCUGACCUGCUUAGAAUCUUCAAUAUAGUUAGGGUCAUUAAAGUAGCGGUGUACCUUCUCAGAGGGGAAGUGCAUGUGAACUUCUCCGGUUCCAAUGUAGAUGAUCGCUUUGACGGUGCUGAGGAACAGUCUUUCGAGGAUGAUGGGUGGAUUGUACUCGUCUUCUCCCAUGUCAAUGACUUAAAAAUCUGUAUGGACAAAAUGGUCGUCUAUUUUAACAGAGACAUCAGUUACUAUACCUUCAACCUUUCGAAUGUCUGAUCUGCUAUCUGGAGCUGAAUGUAUGUCAGUUUUAGGGGCAUGGUUCUGAACAGAAGCUGAUAGGUGACUCUAGCCAUUAUGUUGACGCCUAAUCCAGUGUCGCAGAGUGUCUUUUGGAAAUAGUAUCCAUUGAUUGAGCACUGGAUGCUUGGCACACCUGGGUCGUCAUUUUUGAUCAGGAAGGGUGACUUGAGUUGACGAUCUUGGCCUCUGUGAACUGCAGUGACCAUUAUGGCUGACUUGGUCCACACUUGCUUCUUGCUCUUGUUCCUCCUGUUGGUCCUUUUCCUUGGUUCAUAUUGGGGUUGUUCUGGGAUUUGUGUAGUCUUGUUCUUGAAGGAAAACGUCUCCUUCCUCCCCUUGAUGUAGAAACUGAUCUUGGCAACACUAGCGUAGAUGACAGCUCCCGAGGUGUUCAGGAAUGGCCUCCCUAGGAUGAAGGGUGCCCUCUCAUCAGUACCGAUCUCUAUCACCACGAAGUCUACUGGGGCGUACAAGGUACCAACUCGGACACAGAUGUUCUUCAGUAUUCCUUUUGGAAAGCUCAGUGUCCGAUCUGCAAUCUUCAAACACAUGGUUGUUUCUAAUAAAGGAUGUGUAAAGAAUUUUUCAUAGAGUACCCAAGGCAUAAUGUUGACGCUGGAGCCAAAUUCACAGAGUGCCUCUGGGAAGUCCACCAUGCCGAUGGAGAUGAGGAUGACGGGGCGUCCUGGAUCACCUCUCUUGACUGGCAGAAGGUCGUUAUGUACUUCCACAACGGGGUUACUCCAGUAGUUACCUGCAUCAAACAUGUCUACAAGAUUUGCAGAUUCUAAUCCUUCUGGUUGUGAUGGUAUACUGGGGUUAGUAGCAGGAACAACAGUAGCUAUUUCAUUCAACUGAGAUUCAAUCAUUUUAUUAAAGCUAAUCUGGUUCUUGAUGGAAGUAGAAAAAUUAUCCAUUCUAUUAUUUAUAUUUUCUAGCAUUUUAUCAUUUGAUGCCAAUUUCUUAGACACGUUAUCCAUUAGCUUUCCUUGAUUAGACACUAACUCUCUCAAAGGUCGAUAAUUAUUAUUAUUAUUGUAAGAAUUGUUACCCUGAUAAUUACCUCAGUAGUUACCUGGGUAGUUAGGCCUCUGUUGAUUCCAACCUUGAUUUUGUUGAGGACGGUUGUAGUAGUAGUUGUUGUUGUUGAUGUAGUUCACGUCCUCAAGCAUCUCAGGGCAGUGAUUGCCUGAGUGUCCAGUUUCUCCACACUCUUCACAAGUCAUGUGAGAGUUGUAGACGUGCAUGACUUAUUUCUUGUCUCCAGCUUUGUCAUCGAGCUUCUUCACGAGCAAGUCCAGCUUUGCAGACCUUGGAGGAAAGGAUGAACUGGAAUCCCAAACCCCCUCUUGAAAAAAACUUCAAAAACAACGAUCUCACCAGCGCGAGGGUCGGGGUAACUUUCCCCCUCUGGAGCCCUCCAGCCGCCAAGAUCCUGAUUGUGUAGGAGUCCCAUCUUGACGAGGUCGUUAAGGGACAUCAUGCUGCUACGGGACGUUUUCCACUACUUGGCCAUCAUCUCAGCCCUCUCCUUGGUGUCGCUCUUUGCCAUUUCCUUCUUGCGGAAAGAUUUGAACUCGGAUUUGGGGGAUUGGAGGUGCUGGGGAAGAUGAAAGCUGGGCAAUAGUAUAUGAUUGCUGGGUAUAGAACAUGGGUGUGACCUUGGGCUUUUUAUAACAACAGCCCCACCUCUACCACUUCCCGCACUUUGGGGAAGUGGGUGGACUUUUCAGCGAAUGCGGCGUUUCGGUUUUCAAGAGCCACCACAGUAAAUUUGGUGGUUGUUUUUUAAUAAUUGUUGGUUUCCUUUCUUGAUACCCGCAAUGAGCGGAUGUACAGUUCGCAGGCUCCUCUUUUUAUGCAGCAUACUGACAAAAUGACAGGACUCUCUGUCAUGUUGCGCAUUAAUGUGGUGAUAGGAUUUUUCCAGAAAUAGGUAGAAUCUUUGGUUAGAUGGAUGUGAUAUACUUGGGGACUGUACCGACCACCGAGCAUUAAAUGCUCGAGGACUGGUCGACUAGUCUGCCUUUUCGACAACCUGUGACUGCACCGACCACCGAGCAUGGUACGCUCGGGGACUGGUCGACCAGUCUGUUUAUGAAGCUGGGGACUGCACCAACCACCGAGUAUGGUAUGCUCGGGGACUAGUCGACCAAUCUGUUUAUGAAGCUGGAGACUGCACCGACCUCCGAGCACGGUAUGCUCGGGGACUGGUCGACCAGUCUGUUUAUGAAGCAGAGGACUAUGCUGAUUAUUGAUUGCAUACGAAUCGACUUCACAUGCAACUGAGAGGCAAUUUAAUUAUUUUUAGACCUUGCUACAAGGCACAUACUUCGCCUUCCAGCAGGCUCGGGGACUACAUCGGUACGAUGCAUCUAGCGAUGCAUGUUAGUGUCAGAAAUUUUAAGAUGAGUUUUCUUUUUAGACCCUGGCACCACGUGCCUACGACCACCUACUACCAGGCUCGGGGACUAAGUGGGCACACUUCACCUUGCGGUGAACUUGUUUGUUUUGAGCAUACUUUGCUAUGCAGAAAAGUAAAGUGGGCACACUUCAUCAGGAAAGAAAUAUUUUUUCUCAAGAGCACCAUGCAUUCUUCGAACAACUGGCUUCUUCGAUGUUGAUGUUGGUCAACUGGUUUUUGUUGACACUAGCUAACACCACUUAGAUACUAGGUUGUCAUCCCCAGCAUGGUGCCAGAGUGUACAAAGGUAUUUAUAAAUGUAAAGGCUCUCUAGAAAAUAAUCUAUUCUAUCUGCAAGCGCACAGAUAAAACACCUCAUUGUAGCAUUUCACCAGGAUAAGUAUUCCAGGUAUCGUUAUUUGUAAUUCUGCUCAAGAGAACAAAAGGGAUGAAAUUAAAAUAAGGACAAAAUCUAUCAAGGCAUAGACUAGAGAUAAACUUGCAAGAACACGAUUACUAAUGAGAAACUCGUCACACAGUCACUUACUUUGGUAGGAGGUAAACCAUAAAGAUAAUGAUAAUGAAUUAUAAGUUCAAGGGUAAAUAACACAGCGAUUAGAAAAUAGACUACUCCUCAUAUAUGUAGGUGACAUCGGAUUAGCUAGAGAAUGGAUUCUAAGUUAUCUACUAUCUACUAAGUCACAAUCUACUCUAGUUAUGUACAAGAUCAUAUAUAGCAUAAAAGACUCUUCAUUUAUGUAUAAGGAACAUUGCUAAAGUAAAUCAGAGCAUCGCAAGGCUUACUCCGCAAUACAAGUUCUGCCUGUCCUAUCAACGGAGGGUGGACUAUAUAAGAAUCAACGAAGCUGUCACUAUCGCGAACUACCACACGACUCGGCCAAUAGGAUACAUUUGCAGGUAAAUAACAUCUAAGCACCACGCCCACAUGUGAUCUACCACUUAACUCCCUCGCGUCAAGAGCUAAGCGCUUUGCAAACUUAUACAUAAACUCAUUAUCAAUCAUACCUAUAUCAAAUAUAGAACUAGAGCAAACUAAGAGCAUAAUAAAUAAAGACAUAAUGUAAUUAGAACAAAGUAUUAGAGAAAGAUAUGAAUAAUACCAAUCUUUAUUACCGAAGAUCCGAAUCCAGAGCGUAGUGCUCUACUUCUCUAAUUGCUAUCUAAUCAAACCUCUAAACUUGAAGGACUAGGGAGUAGCUAAUUCUAAUUCUCUAUGGGAGAGAAGCUCUAAACCCUAACUUUGAUGGCUACCUCUGAUAAUGAUUUCUCCUCUUCUCUUCUCUCCCCCAGGGGUGGAGAGGCCUUGGUUAUAUAGUCCUUUCAAGUGAAUUUGGGCCGUCAGAUCAAACCGACCUUGAUUGCAUGGUUUAGAUUCAUCCUCAAAGGCACUGGAGCAUAGUCCCGAAAGAGAGUCCUGAUUGGACUCUAACCCUGGGCGAGCGCCCAAGGGGGGUGGGCGGCCGCCCUGCCCUCGAGCCCGAUCGUCUUCUCGUUCGUUCCCGUGGCUUCUGGACUCUUCUAGAUUGAGGAAAAUUGUGCGGCAUGUAAUCAUCUCGUUGUAAACAUGACAUGUGGGCCUUCUCUCCAUAUUCUCUGAUAACCCCUGCAGAAAUAGAUAAACACCAAAGCUCGUGGAAUUCUGUUAAAUAAAACCCUAAUUCUAGAUAUUUGGUGCAUAUUGAUCCUUUUCCAUGUUUAUUUGAUGGUUAAAUUUAGUACUUAAGGACCGUCAACAAACUCCCCCAAGCUUACCCUUUGCUUGUCCCUAAGCAAACAGCUAAACUCAGACGGAUCAGGAGUUGCUUCGAUGUUUUCUUUCCUCACAGGCACACAUGCUUUUACAUGCUUUUACAUAAAAUUCUUCCAGAUUAGAGUGAAGUGUCAUGGAGCCUAGUACCUGCACUUAAAUCUUAAGUAAUCGAAAGACAAAAUAAUUAAGUCAAGCACUAUUCCUCCUGUCUAUACUUUACCUUGGUUCCAGAGUUUUUCAUAAGUUUUCAAAAUAAAACUCAGAGUUCCCAGCAAUGAUUCUCUCAAGUCUCUCUAUAUGUGGUAUUUGUGGAUCCAUACAAAAAUGUCACUUACCUAUAGCUAAUAGAAUAUUUAAGUGGAGCUCAUAGGAGUGAAAAACAGCUCAUACAUAUGUUGUCUAAUCGAGCCAUGGAUCCAAAGGAACUCAGCAUAUAAUUAAAUCAAGAUGUGCAUGUGUGAUGGAGUAAAUAAUAGUGAUGGUAAAAAUGUGUAAGUGAUGAUAAAACUUACUUCUCAUUGCUCCUCAUAUUGCUAUCUCUCCUCUUCUGUGAUCUUUGCUUUGGGAGAACAUGGGCUAUCUCUUUUUUUUAGGUGGGUAGUAGAUACCCCUAAUUCUACUGUCGGACACUUGUCCAUUUUUACCUCUCGUCUCACUCUUUUUUUUCUUUCUUUUCCGAGGUUCCGGGCACUUGCCCCUUUUUAUUUCCUCGCAUAUUUUUGCAUAACCCAUGCCUCUUCUGCAUUGAAUCUUUUUAGAUAGAGAAAAUAAAAACACUUGGGACAGUGAGUGAUAAUAUUUUUAGCAAUUUUAAUGACUAGUGGAUGGUGUAGUGGAUGUGUGCAAGUGAAUAUCUUAAUUUAACCACAUGAAAAGCUCCUAAGGGUCUACACAGCUCGAUCAAACUCAAUGUGAAUAUAGUAAAAGAUGUUAUAGCAAGUAUGGCUGUGGUAGGUAGUUUGUUAUGCUAGGAACUCAUCAUGUGGUUUUUAAAUUUUCAAAAUAAAUCUCCAGAACUUAGUGUAGUAGGAACAAGAUAAACAGCAGCUCAAACUUUAUAUUAUGUCCUUCUUUUACCUAGACUUUAGUUUUAUGCUUCCUAUAGAUAGUAAUUUCAGUUUUAGUAAUUCCUGGAAGAACUCUAAUAUAAAAGCUAGGUACUUGAAAGUAAGCAAACAGAGCAACUGUUCAUCAUUUCCAUCAUGCAUCUUUUUGGUCUUUUUAUCUUUCUAUAGAUUAACACUUAGUAGGAAAAUAAAGCACACUUAUCUACACACUCUUUUUAUUUUGUUUUCAUGUUUAUAGAAUGCAGUAAAUUAAAGCAAGAAAAUAUUUAUUGGGUUUUCUAAGUUUUUCUCUUUAAGAUAAAUAAAACACUGGAAUAGAAAAGAAUAAAUAAGAAGAGCAAAUAAAAACUUACUUGAUAAAUUGGGGAGGAACUCCCCCAAGCUGGAUGUUGCUGUCAAUCUUAAUCAAUAUUCCAGAACCGCAUCAUGGUGGUGAUGUUAUCGUUCAUUGUUGUGGUAUCUUGUCUUAGCUCUUGCACUGCAGUGGCAUGGUCCUGGUUCCAUUUUUGUUGCUCUUCCAGGAGUCUUCCAUGUUCUACUUGCGUAUUCUGGAUGUCGAGGAGAGUGUUGUCGGUGCGGUUGAAGAAAGCGCUGGCCUCUUGGUAGUAGUCAUUCGUGAAAGCGUAGGAGGCGCCGGAGUAUCGUCCUGCAUCGAAUUGGGGCAGAUGUCUAGAUCCUGAAGCUCUAUAAGGAUCAGUGGAGUACUUGCCCGUAUGAAAAGGCGGGUUUGUCCACUGGUGAUCUUGGCUCUCCGGCCAUGUCUCCUGUGUAGGCUCUUGUGGUUGCGCAUGUCGAACCCAUGGGUCUCGAAGGACUCGGGGGUUGUAAUCACGAUAAUGCAGGUGCGCUGCUUCUUCUGGUCCGGGAUCAGCUCCAUACCAGGUGCGUUGCCGAUGGGUGGUCAUCCUUUCAGAUGCCACUUGUUGUGGAGCUCUCUGGUUCACCGGUGUCACUGCAAUCUCAAUCAAAAAAUUUUGAACAACGUAGAGGCCAAGGUUCGGGUUAGGUAACUAAAUCUUGCCUUUAUCAUCAUAUAGCAUAUACAUUAGGUUCCCUUCUUUCUUUAACAUCCGAGCUUGUCUAAAUGUGUCAUAGCCAUGAUAAAUUCUUAACUCAUCUAUGAAGUCCAAUGACGAGUUUUCUAGCAAAUGAAGAUUAGAGGCUAGACGAGUGAUAAGUGAAGUACAUCCUACUGAUCCCUGAAGACUAGGUAUACUAAGCCAAUGAGAAACCAAAAGUGUAACAGGUGAAGUGGGUACUUUAUUAAUAGCAGCAUAUAAAAGUUGUAAAUCUCCUACUCUUACUUUCCUAAUAUCAUCACGAUAGAAAAGAUUGUACCCAAGCCAUUUGUGGAACAUCCUAGAAGUGGGGUGUUCCAUGUCACUGGUUCGGGCUUGACUAUAAAAAUUAUCUCUAGAUAUCUCUCUCCAGAACUGGUGUCUCUCAAAAUUAGGUAGGUCGGAGUCAAUGUUCAGGAUGCAUCUUGAAGAGAAACCAAGAUGGUCGCUCAGUUCUUUCCAAGACAACAUAAUCUCCUAUUUAAACAUCCAAAAAACAAUUCCCCCCUCAUAAUAUUGUAAAGUGCAAAGAAAUUCAAGGGUGAGAAGACGAGAACCCAGCUCAUUUAUAUUCCAAAAAUUUGUCCAACCUAGCAUCUAGAAAAUUAAGUCAAAUUCAGUGUCCAUACCUGUUUCUUGUAGCAAGAUUGGAUCAAGAGUAGGGGUGUGAAUGAAAUCUUUGUUCUUCAGCUGCUGGUAGACUUCCUUCUCCCUGCGGGUCUUUAGUCCAAGGUCUCCUAUCUUGAGAAGGACCUUGACUUGCUGAUUAGAUGAAUAUGACGAAGCUUGUGUGGGCGUUGGGUCGACGCUCAUCUCGGACAGGUGUGAGGAGUGUCGGGAUGAACUCCUUGUACCUAUGUUCUUGAGAGCCUUCCCUGCGUUCUUCACCUUCUUGAACAUCCUGUAUACAAAAGUUGGCAAAAACACAACUAGUGGAAAAUGUGAGAGAAAAUAUUAGUGGUCAGCUGUUCGGAAUGUCAGUAGUCUAGGGGUUAGUCGUUCAAGACAAGUUUUUAUUUUGGCAGAACCUCCCCUUAAACAACUUUUAGUUCCGCUUGGACAGCGGGAUCACUACUUACUAGGUGAAGCUCACUCUCUCACUCAAAAACUACCAACUUCUUUCCCACUCUUCUCUUUCUCUCUACUCUCUUCUCACUUCACUACAAGAGCUCCUUCUCUGGAAACUGAAACUUGCGUGGUUUUCUGGAAUGCUUGUGUGAAGAAGUUGGAGGGAGGAAGAGGCUAAUUAUAGGAGGAAGAGGGGGCAGGGCGGGCGCCCUCUAUAGGUGGGCGGGCGCCCACCUUUGGUGCCCAUCCUGGCUGCCCUUUCUCCACUCCCUUCUUUGCUUAACUCUUACGCAAAAUAAUGGAUCAUGGGUGGUGGUUGGAUCGUGGAAAAGUGCUGGUGAGUGGAGUUAUGUUAGUGGAUCAAAUAAUGUGAUGGGAUGUAUGUGAGGUGUGGUGUAUGACAUGUGGGACCCAAGGAGUGUGGGUCAUGCUUCUAGAAGAUUACUAUAAUUAAAUAUAAUACAGAAAAAUCUAUGAGAAUUAAAACUUAUUUGAAAUGAUAAUGAAAAAUAUUUUUGUGCCUCCACAAUAAUUAAUAAAAUAUGGGUUGUUACACACCAUAAUUAUUAUUUAUACAUGGCUUUUUAUUAUUAUAAUAAUGCAAUGAAUAUAUAUGACUAAUGCAAGAAUUAAUUAUGCAAGAAUUAAUGAUGCAGAUAAAUACCGAUUUACCUCCCGUUGAGGGUUUGGGAUUUAUAGGUCCCCCAAGCUGGACCUCCAAAUCUUUUAAUCUUCUGAAUUACCUUCCUCCGAAGAUGGUGUCUCCAGUGGUUCUUCUUCAUGAACUUCCUUCACUGUAGAGUCUCUCUCUGGUCUGAGCUUGAAUGUGAAGUAUUCUUCUUGUCCGUUUAUGUUGCAUUUAAUUUCUCCUUUCCCGACAUCAAUGUGGGCAUUGGCGGUGCUUGUUGACGGUCCUUAAGUAUCAAAUUUAAUUAUCAAAUAAACAAAGAAAAGGAUCCAAAUGAAAUCAACAUCUAGACUUAGGGUUUUAUCUGUCAGAAUUCCACGAGUUUUGGUGUUUGUCUAUUUCUGCAGGGGGGUAUCAGGAAAUACGGAAGAAAGGCCCACACGUCGGGAUUACAUAGAGAUAUUAACGUGCUGCGCAAUUAUCUUACAUCUAGAAGACUCUAGAAGCCACGGGAAGGAAGCGGAGGCCGAACGGGGCCAGGGACUGGGCGCCCGCCCUCCUGCAAAGUCCAAUCAGGACUCUGUUUCGGGGAAGAUCUCCACCGACCUAAAGGAUCAAGGAUAACCGUUAAAUCAAUGUCGGUUUGAUCCAACGGCCCAUAUUCACUUGAAGGGACUAUAAAACCAGACCCCCUGGCCCCUGGAGGAGAGAGCCUCUCAACCCUAAUUCAUUAUUCUUCAAGGGAGAAGAAGCCUCUGAUCAAGAUUAGAGCCGCCACAUCAAUUAGACAUCUAGAUUAGCAUAGCUACAUAGGAUUAGAACUAGAAGGAGUCAAUCUUCGAUUGGUUUCCGGAUCUGUCAAGAGGAUUCUUGGUAAUUCUCUAAUUGUGAUUCUAAUUGUUCUUCUAAUUAUCUUUGUUCUUCAAUAUUAUGAAUAUGACUUUGUUCUACUUCAAUAUAUUGCUUAUGACUUUGCUCUACUUGUUUAUAUUCAAGAUUAUAUUGUUCUUAGUUUAUCAUAGUUAUGUACUUGGCUUAGUUAGAUUGGAUCUAUAUACAUGCUUAGGAUCGUAUAGCGUUUAUCCAUCAGAUCCAUGGGCAAAUGAUAGAUAUUGUGUAGGCGUGGUGCUUAUGCUGUAUUUAUCUGCGAUUGUACCCAAUAUGCCAGAUCGUGGGGUAGUUCGUGAUAGUGACAGCUUCAUUGAUUCUUAUAUAGUGUCACACCCCAAAAUAUGUACUUUGGAAUGUGACUUAGAAAUCACUAAAAACAAAGACAAAGAAUUUAUUAUUUUUAUAAAAUGUUCCAACUUUAUUAUGUUGCCAACAUGUUAGAUAGUGGAAAAAUAUGGGCUUCUAAUUUUUCUUUGCAAUUUAACUUAGUGGUUUGUUGCACUCAUGCCGUUGCACAAUGUUUAUACUUGAAAAAUGAAUUUAUUUGUUUCCAAAAUACGGCUAGGGUUUCAUCACAUCUUCAUAUCCCUAAAAUACCAAAUCGGUAUUCGAAACUCCAAUCAAGUCUUUUGCUAACAUCCAACAAAAAUCUAGCAUGUCCUAUUCUCUUUCUCUUUCCUUUCUUUUCUUUCUUGAGCUCUCAAUCAUUUUCGUGUCCACGAAGUAUUCGGGCCAAUUUCUAUUGUCUCUCAAUCAUUCAUUAUAAAUGAAUCUUAAAUUUCCUUGCUCUUUCCUGUGAAAACAACAUCCCUCUCCUUAUGCUAUAGCCCCUACUUUUUCCGUUCAACCAAAAAUAACAGUUACACAUAAUGCUCAUUCACAAAUUUUCUUUGAUGCAUUUUCUUUUAAUCACCACCCCUUAAUCUCUCCAUUUUAUUUUUGAGCAGUAACUAAAUAGCAGAGCAUGGCCAGACUCCACAUUCCUUUACAGAUGCAAUACUCCAAUUGUUCUUCUUAUCUUCAAUUGCAUGAAAGCAUGCAGCAGCUAUUAAUAUAUUAUUUCCUUCCCAUUCACGUGGAGAAGUAGCCCCUUCCUUCAUAGUCAUCCUCUCGCCUUUCUCCUGUCACACAAUAUUCUUCCACCUCAUGCAAAUGACAAUACCAUUUAAUCUCUCGGUCCCUUAAUUUCCUAGCUCAACUCCUCAGUAUAUUAGUUCUAUAUAAUCUUCUUUAUGUCUCUGUUUUGAUCAAGCUCUAAUGCCCAUAAACACUAAAGAAAAUAGACUAUAUAGUUGAGAAUAACUUAGGUAAUAUUCUUGUAGUUCGUUCUAAUACCUUGCUAAUGACUUUCUAGAGUAUCUAAUUGAGGUGCUUAUCAUAUUUAUUAUGUGGCUAGUUAUGAUCAGAUUAAUUAUCUUUGUCACUAUUCAUUACUUCAUAUAUCUUUUAUGUGACACUUACCCCUGUAUGAAAGAGUUAGAUAAAUGUUCUCAAUUAUACAUGCAAUGAUAGAUACUCAAUCUCAUAUUCUAUUCUGUAAUCAAUAUUGAUGAUUGUUAAUCCCUUCUCAGUGGUAAAAAUAUAAAUAACGAUACCUGGAAUACUUCUCGGUUAAAAUGCUGCAUUGGUAUUAAUCUGUGCGCUUGCAGAUCUCAUUCAUUAUUUAUUUAGAAGAGCAAUUACAUAUUUCAAUACCGCGUCUCUCAUGUCAUGCUGGGGAUGACAACUUGGCUUAAGUGGUAUGAUGGAUAGGUUUGGCAUUUUUGGCACCGUUACUAGAAUUAGAAAACUGUCUACUUUUGGUAAUGAUGUUAAGAAUACCCAACAAGCAUUUUUGGCGCCGUUGCCGGGGAAGGUUGAUUACUAAUCAGGAAUGGAAUAAAGGGUUUUGAGUUAUCAUUCACAUCACUAUUAUGAUUGAGCUUAUCAAUUCUCUCAUACAGUUUUACCCUGAUAUUUUCCUAUUUUAUCUUAUGCAGGGGAAUGUAUGAAUAGAAGACAUCUUCCAGGAAAUUUUGUUGACAAUCCCGAAGCCUUAUUCAGAAAAACAAGAGCCAAGCUCAAGAAGAGAUCAUCAACACUUCAGCAAGAAGCUUCAUCUAAUCAAGAAGAUCACCGGAACUUGUCUUCUGAGUUCGAAGCCAUGGCGAACAAAUCGAUCCGUGAGUUCUCAGCUCCCACUACAGACAACAUCCGCACUGGACCUGCUGCAGAGAUCGAUGGCAACUUUGAGCUCAAGCCUAGACUUAUCAACAUGGUGCAAUCCAACCAGUUCUGUGGGAAGGCACACGAAGAUGCUAGUGCUCAUCUCCAACACUUCCUGGAGAUUUGCAACACAUUUACCAUAUCAGGAGUCCCCAGAGAUGCUAUACUACUUCGCCUCUUCCCAUUCUCACUGUUAGGAAGAGCGAAGCAGUGGUUCUACGCUACAAAGGAGAAGAAUACUACGUGGGCACUCUGCUCAACAAACUUCCUGGCUAAGUGCUUUCCCAUGGGCAAGACCAAUGCUCUCCAUAGGAAGAUUACAAGUUUUCAGCAACAAAAUGAUGAAUCCGUUCCAGAAGCAUGGGAUCGCUUCCAAGACUACAUCCUAGAAUGUCCCCAUCAUGGAAUGGAGAGUUGGCUACUGAUGCAGACAUUUUAUCAUGGGCUCGGCAAUAGUGCCCGAGAGACCAUGGAUGCUGCAGUUGGAGGAGCAUUCCUAUCACUUACUAUACCACAAGCCACAACUCUUGUGGAGAAAAUGGCAUCCAACCAAAGCUGGAAUGAAGAGAGGACCCAGACACGCAAGAGAGGUGGAGGUAUGCAUCAGCUCAAGGAGGUAGACAUGCUGUCUGCAAAGCUAGACCUGCUCAUGAAGAAGCUCGAUGAUAGAGCUGGAGAAAAGAAGGAAGUUAUGCACAUCUACGACUCUCACAUGACUUGUGAGGAGUGUGGACAUACUGGACACUCAGGCAAUCACUGUCCUGAGAUGCUUGAGGAUGUGAACUACAUCAACAAUAACAACAACUACUACAACCGUCCUCAACAAAAUCAAGGUUGGAAUCAACAGAGGCCUAACUACUCAGGUAAUUAUCAAGGUAACAAUUCUUACAACAAUAACAAUGAUUUUCCACCUCUGAGAGAGUUAGUGUCUAAUCAAGGAAAGCUAAUGGAUAAUCUAUCUAAGAAAUUGGCAUCUAAUGAUAAAAUGCUAGAAAAUAUAAAUAAUAGAAUGGAUAAUUUCUCUACUGCCAUCAAGAAUCAAAUUAGCUUUAAUAAAAUGAUUGAAUCUCAGUUAAAUCAAAUAGCUGCUGUUGUUCCUACUACUAAUCCCGGUAUACCAUCACAACCGGAAGGAUUAGAAUUUGCAAAUCUUGUAGAUAUGUUUGAUGCAGGUAAUUGGAGUAACCCCAUCACAGAAGUUACUACUGACCUUCUGCCGGUCAAGAGAGGCGAUCCAGGACGCCCCGUCAUCCCGAUCGCCAUUGGCAUGGUGGACGUUCCAGAAGCACUCUGCGACUUUGCCUCUAGUGUCAACAUUAUACCCAGGGUACUCUAUGAGAAAUUCUUUACAUAUCCUUUAUUAGAAACAACCAUGUGUUUGCAGUUUGCAGAUCAGACGAUAAGUUUUCCAAAAGGAAUACUGAAGAACCUUUGUGUCCGAGUUGGUACCUUAUAUGCCCCAGCAGACUUCGUAGUGGUAGAGACCGGUAAUGAUGAGAGGGCACCCAUCAUCCUAGGGAGGCCAUUCUUAAACACCUCAGGAGCUGUCAUCUAUGCUAGUGCUGCUAAGAUCAGUUUCUACAUCAAAGGGAGAAAGGAGACGUUUUUCUUCAAGAACAAGACUACACAAAUCCCACAUCAAUCCAGACAUGAAUCAAGGAAGAGGACCAAUAGGAGGAACAGGAACAAGCAAGUGUGGACUGAGUCAGCUAAGAUGGUCACUGCAGUUCAUGGAGGCCAAGAUCAUCAACUUAAGUCACCAUUUUUGACCAAGAAGGACGACCCAGGAAUGCCAAGCAUCUAUUGCUCCAUAAAUGGAUACAACUUCUAUAAGACGACUUGCGACAUUGGAUCGGGCGUCAACAUAAUGGCCGCAGUCACCUAUCGGCUCUUGUUCGGAACCAUGCCCUUAAAACCAACAUACAUUCAGCUCCAGAUGGCAGAUCAGACAUUUCGAGAAGUCAAAGGAAUAGUAACUGAUGUCCCAGUCAAAAUAGACGAUCAUUUUGUCUACACAGACUUUCAGGUUAUUGACAUGGGAGAAGACGAAUACGAUCCACCCAUCAUCCUUAGAAGACCAUUCCUCAGCACCGUUAAAGCAAUCAUCUACAUUGGAACCGGAGAAGUCCAUAUGCACUUCCCCUCAGAGAAGGUACGCCGCUACUCUAUUGACCCUAACUAUAUCGUUGAAGAAUCUAAGCAGGUCGGAAAGCGACGCAACCGUAAUCAGAGGAGGCAAAUCAUCAAGGACGGAUGGGCAGACUAUGAUGCAGAAGUGGUAAGGUCAGAAGACGUAGAGUUUAAACAGAAUUAUCCAGAGGAGACCGAAGCACCGAGUCAGGUAUGGAAAGAGAAGAUAACUAUACAUGAAGAGGAGGCGCCGCUGGAAGUACCGACUACGCCACCCAACGAAUUUCAGGACAACUAGAAAACGGAGAGUCCCGUUUGGAGGACUUAAAAAAACACCGAACGCCUUGCCAAGAGGUAAACUUGGUAGUUAUCCUUUCCCUUUCAAAUAGUUUACUUAGUUAAUUAUGUUCAUACUAUCUUAAAAAGAAAAUAAAAAUGUGAAAAAUAGUAAGCCCCAUGUGAGUAUACGAGUGGCAUAAAACCCAUAAGUACAUUCACUGUGGUGGCAUAAAAAUAAACUAAAUAUUUCCUUUCUGCUUUAUAAAAUGAAAAUAUAAAAAAAAUUGGGAGCAAUAAUUAUUAAGGAGUCUCAACAUGAUAAAGGCUAGAUAUUUAUGCUAACACUUAAUUAGUUCCACAAGCUUUGUUGUCUAUUUGAGCUCCACAGAAUUCAAGAAUCAAGAAGACUAGCCGACAAAGGACAUUCUAAUCGCUGUCAGAAUGCUGCUGGCUUUCAAAUACACCUCUGCCACCCGCUAGCUACAUCAAGGGAAAUUACGUCAAAAUUCAGCUUGGGGGAGAGCACCCCCAUUUAUCCCGAUAAGUAUUUCUAUCUAUCUAUCUUUAUACUUAUACUAUAUUAAAAUAUAAAUAAUUAUGAAAAACUAAAUAAAGAAUUUGUGCUUAUAUAUAUGUAUCUUUUGCUUUAGUGUGUUUAAUAAACAAAUAAAGUGGCUAUGCUAAUCUGAAUCUUAAUAAUAAAACUCUAGCAUGGAUAUAAUGAAUAGUUGCUCUGCCUAAUUUUAAAAUUUGAAGUUCUCUCUCAAGUUUAGACAUAACUGUUAUGAUUUAAAGCUUGCUCUAAACCUGAACUUGUGGGAAGAAAACUUGAUCUAAAGUCUAAGUUGUUAACGGAUACGAUAUGGGAAGGUUGAGCUGCUGUUUAUCUAUUCCUUGAGAUGCUAGAAUUCUGGAGAAUUUUAUCUUUGAAAAUCUUUAAAAUAUUGCAUGAUGAGUUCCUGUAUGAUAAGAUUUUAAAUUCCUACCACAGCCAUAUAUACAUACUUGCUAGACUUUGAGCCACACAUUUACUAUUUACUGCUUAUGAGUAUUGAGUGUGGUCAAGCUGUGUAGACCCUUAGGAGCUUGUCAUGUGGUUAAAUCAAGAUUCACUUGCACGUUCACUCAUAUAUGCUACUUCUACUCCGGAAGUACCAUCCACAUAUAUCCACCCAUUUCCAUCUCCAGAACCACCCAAAAAUAUUCUACUCCUAAUCCGGGAGAGAAUAGCCAAAAAUAUUUCUGUUUUUCCUUGUGAAAUAAAUGCUCAAGUUAUCUUGUUACUACCACUUGCUAUAUUAUCUCAAGAGAUGAGUGCUCUAUAUAUAUAUAUAUAUAUAUAUAUAUAUAUAUAUAUAUAUAUAUAUAUAUAUACGAGGAAAUAAAAAGGGGCAAGUGCCCGGAACCUCGAAAGAAAAGAAAAAAGUGAGACGAGAGGUAAAAAUGGACAAGUGUCCGACAGUAGAAUUAGGGGUACAAGAUACCCACCUGAGAGAAAAGAAAAAUAUAGAGCAUCUCAUUCUCCUCAUAAAGUUUCAAAAAGCAAGGAAGGUAUGUAUCAACUCAAAAGAGCAAAAGUAGAAUUAGACUUUCACCAUUGUUAUCACCAUCAUCACCAUACACCAUUCAUUUGCCACACAUGCACAUCUUGAUUUGACUUAAUGAUUUGUUUCUCUGGAUCCAUGGUUUGACUAUACAAUAAAUGUCUUUUAAGUAUGUAUAUUUUAUCUCUCACCUAUGAGCUCCAGAUAUUAAAGCCUUAUUAGAGUAGGGUGAGAGAGAAGGCAUAUACUAUCACUGCCUUGGUAAGGAUCCAGAAAUACCACAAAAGAGAGAUAUGAGAGAGUCAUACAAAGAAUCUCUGAGUUUUAUUUGAAAAUCUGCAAAAACUCCAGAGCUAUAGCUGAUCAAGAAUAAGAGACAUGGCACUUGACUAGACUGUUCUAUCUUUUAACUACACAAGACAGAAGUGACGGUUACAAGUCCCAUGGUGAAAGGUAAAGUAAGUAAGUCUUGACGGUUUACUCUAACUCAGAGAUGAGAUCUUAUUUAAAAAGCAUGUGUACCGUCAAUUUUUAAAGUAUUGCAGCAACUUCUAAUCUAUCCUUGCUCAGGGACGAGCAAGAGGUAAGCUUGGGGGAGUUUGUUGACGGUCCUUAAGUAUCAAAUUUAAUUAUCAAAUAAACAAAGAAAAGGAUCCAAAUGAAAUCAACAUCUAGACUUAGGGUUUUAUCUGACAGAAUUCCACGAGUUUUGGUGUUUGUCUAUUUCUGCAGGGGGUUAUCAGGAAAUACGGAAGAAAAGCCCACACGUCGGGAUUACAUAGAGAUAUUAACGUGCCGCGCAAUUAUCUUACAUCUAGAAGACUCCAGAAGCCACGAGAAGUUAGCGGAGGCCGAACGGGGCCAGGGACUGGACGCCCGCCCAGUUGCCCUGGGCGCCCGCACUCCUGCUGAGUCCAAUCAGGACUCUGUUUCGGGGAAGAUCUCCACCGACCUAAAGGAUCAAGGAUAACCGUUCAAUCAAUGUCGGUUUGAUCCAACGGCCCAUAUUCACUUGAAGGGACUAUAAAACCAGACCCUCUGGCCCCUGGAGGAGAGAGCCUCUCAACCCUAAUUCAUUAUUCUUCAAGGGAGAAGAAGCCUCUGAUCAAGAUUAGAGCCACCACAUCAAUUAGACAUCUAGAUUAGCAUAGCUACAUAGGAUUAGAACUUGAAGGAGUCAAUCUUCGAUUGGUUUCCAGAUCUGUCAAGAGGAUUCUUGGUAAUUCUCUAAUUGUGCUUCUAAUUGUUCUUCUAAUUAUCUUUGUUCUUCAAUAUUUUGAAUAUGACUUUGUUCUACUUCAAUAUAUUGCUUAUGACUUUGCUCUACUUGUUUAUAUUCAAGAUUAUAUUGUUCUUAGUUUAUCAUAGUUAUGUACUUGGCUUAGUUAGAUUGGAUCUAUAUACAUGCUUAGGAUUGUAUAGCAUUUAUCCAUCGGAUCCAUGGGUAAAUGAUAGAUAUUGUGUAGGCGUGGUGCUUAUACCGUAUUUAUCUGCGAUUGUACCCAAUAUGCCAGAUCGUGGGGUGGUUCGUGAUAGUGACAGCUUCAUUGAUUCUUAUAUAGUCCCCCUCUCCUGUAUUGGGUUGGCAGAGCAACAUUAUUACAGGGGAGUGAUUGCUAUGUUUCUCAUAUUCCUUGCUAAUAUCACUAUGCAUGGGCGUAGUCUUGUCUCGCAAUGAUUGCUAAGUAUGCUUGCACUAACUAUGAUAUGCUAGACUAUAUAGUUGAGAAUAACUUAAGGAAUAUUCUUGUAGUUCGUUCUAAUACCAUGCUAAUGAGUUUCUAGAGUAUCUAAUUGAGGUGCUUAUCAUAUUUAUUAUGUGGCUAGAUCAGAUUAAUUAUCCUUGUCACUAUUAUUAUUUCAUAUAUAAUUUAUGUGACACUUAUCCCUGUAUGAAAGAGUUAGAUAAAUGUUCUCAAUUAUACAUGCAAUGAUAGAUACUCAAUCUCAUAUUCUAUUCUGUAAUCAAUAUUGAUGAUUGUUAAUCCCUUCCCAGUGGUAAAAAUAUAAAUAACGAUACCUGGAAUACUUCCCGGUUAAAAUGCUGCAUCGGUAUUAAUCUGUGCGCUUGCAGAUCUCAUUCAUUAUUUAUUUAGAAGAGCAAUUGCUUAUUUCAAUACCACAUCUCUCAUGUCAUGCUGGGGAUGACAACUUGGCUUAAGUGGUAUGAGGGAUAGGUUUGGCAUUUUUAGCACCGUUACUAGAAUUAGAAAACUGUCUACUUUUGGUAAUGAUGUUAAGAAUACCCAACAGUGCUCAGAAAUGGCCUUCCAAGGAUGAUGGACACUUUUGAGUCAGGACUCAUGUCUAGUACCAUGAAGUCUACUGGCACCAGGAAAUCUCUGAUCUUGACUGGAAUGUUUCCGGCGAUGCCCAACGGGUGUGUUGACACCGUUUUUGGGCACGUGUCCAUGAUCGGUAAAAGUAUAGAUCGGCAGAAUAAGGCGGUGGUGUUUGGUCUGCAGGGAGAGUUGCCGAUGGAGAUGGUUGCCGAUGGAAGGGUGAGUAAACGUGAUUAAGUCCAUAAGUGGUGACAUAUCUAUGCCGAUGGCUACGACAAGGAAGUCUGCCGUUGAUAUAGAGAGAAAGUCUGGGAGUUGAUGAUCGGUCUGUGGAGGUGUUCCAGUUUGUUACGGGGGGAUAGUUUUACGUUUUCCUUAGUUAUUUAAAUCGUUUUGUAAACGGAUUCUGUGUAAUUUGGAAUUCGAGUUCUAGUCGUGUCUGGUUGUAGCUCUUUGAGCAGGGUAUAAAUGUAGACCCUAGGGCCUUGUAAUGAGACAUCUAUCAAUCAAUCAAACACACGUUUUUUACUCAUAUUCCAGCAUCUACUUUUCGACGACUUCGUCAUACCUUUCCCUUUUCAUUACGAGUUCUUAGGAAUUCGUCGACUUAAGCUCGGCGUGUUCUCAAAUUCCGCGUGAAUACCUCUUAGCCGUGACAUCCUUGCGCAUCGCUGUUGUCAGGACUAAAGUAUUCGAGUUAUCACCUUUGCUGAUAGUAUGGUCAAAUCGGCUGGGACGCCUUAACGUUUGAACCGGGUAUUAGCCCUUUGUGUUUGCAGAUCAGCUUUUGCACCAACACAUCUUUUGGCACGCCCAGUGGGACCGAUCCAAGAUCAAGAUCAACAUGUCGACUUCUGAGUUUGAUCAAGAGAACGUCAUCCCCGUGACGGAAGCCAAUCUCAAGGAUGAGCAGAAGCAAGCUAUUGCUAAAGCCAUGGAGGAUUACAAGCAGCAGUGCCUGAGGUCCUUCAGCAUGAACAGGAGCGGCGAAGUGAUUCAGAAGGAUGCACUGCCGGCGCCUCGGCAGGUCACUUUUGAAGCCAAUCUUGGCAAGCUUCAAGAGAUGGUUGAUAGCGCUAUCAACUGUGCUUUGAUCAACCAAGCUGGCGUACUGUCUAGUACGGUUUUCAAUGCCGUGGCAAGAACUUUCAAGGAAGGACAGAUGCCGCCAGAUUAUGUGGGCCCUACUUAUCAUCAGCCAGGGUCACCAGUGGUCACAGCUCCAUCGGCUGCUGCGGCCGCUGCGGGUUCACAAACUACCGUUCCUCCAAGUACGUUGGGAGUCACGAAUACACAAUCUACACCGAUGACAACCAAUCCACAAACUUCAAAUGGGCAGAUUAAACUAACUACAGAUAUGUUGUCAUCGGCAAUGUCAGGAUUAACUCUUCCUCCCAACUGGUGGGGUUAUGGUAUGCCUCCAGAAUUAACGCCGAGUACGUCGCAGACAACUGAUAUGAGAGGCAAGACUCCUAUGGCAUCGGCACCUCCCAAUGCGCUGAUGAACCAGAGUCCCCGGUAUACUACAACUACUACUACAAGACCUCAUACCAGGAAUCCUCAAGAUCCAAUGUUCCAGAUGCCUAAUCCAUCGGUAGAUUCAAUGCUGAUGCAACAGAGGUUUACGACUCAACCAGGGUAUGUCAGUUCGAUGAUCAUGCCCAAUUACCAGUCAUCGGCAGGGCCUAUGCCGAUGAACGCUAAUAACGGAUGGCUUGGGCAGCAAGUCUUUCCGCAAACGCCCCAACAGAAUCACCAGGCUACAGGGUUCCAGCAAGGACAGGGCUUUCCCGGAUUCCAGAAUCACGGGAUCCCUAACCAGCCAAUGAAUCUCGGGCAGCAAGUCGGUGGACAGCAAAUUGGCGGGCAACAGCUUGGUGGUCCACAGAUUGGAGGUCAGAUGAUCAACCCAAUGUUCCAUGCAGAUCGAGCACCGCACCGACGCGUGGAGGCGUACCAGCAGGUGCCGGAUCCGCAACCUCCUCAUCGGCAGGAUGCCGAUGCGUACUGGGCCGAUAAGAUUGCUGAAGUGAUGAGAGACCAAUUCGGGAUAAAACCCAAAGUCAACGCUUACUCUUAUCGGACACCGUAUCCUCCUGCAUAUGAUUUGAUCCCGCUUCCACAUCGGUACAAGGUACCGGAUUUUACUAAAUUUUCUCGGCAGGAUGACACGUCAACCAUGGAGCACGUCAACAGGUUCAUCAUUCAAUGCGGUGAAGCUGGUAACAGGGAUGAGUUAAGGGUUCGCUUAUUCUCGUCAUCAUUGUCUGGAUCGGCUUUCACUUGGUUUAUUUCAUUACCUCCCAACUUAGUGAUUACUUGGGCCGAUCUGGAGAAGCAAUUCCACAAAUACUUCUUUUCUAGGGUCCAUGAGAAGAAGAUCACCGAUUUAGUCAAAUUAAGGCAACGCAAUGAUGAAUCGGUUGAGAGUUUUGUGCAGAGGAUACGGGAGGUCAAAAAUAAAUGCUAUAGUUUGGUUUUGGAUGAUCGGCAGCUAGCCGAUUUGGCUUUCUAGGGUUUGUUGCCACACAUCAGGGACAAAUAUGUUUCUCAGGAGUUUGAAAGCUUAAGUCAUUUGGUGCAGAGAAUUUCUGAUCAAGAUAUCAAACCUUUUGAGCCCAAGAGAGCAUGGAACAAAAAGGUAUCUUUCGUUGAUGAAGCAACAAGCUCAGAUUCUGAUGAGGAACCAGUCAUCGGCCUGGCAUAGUGGGUAAAGAAUAAGAAGCCGAUGUCUUGCCCUUUUGGGCAGAAGGAACCAGGGAAGUUCGCAUUUGACACCGCUAAGGCCGAUAGGAUAUUUGACUUUCUACUUCAGGAAGGUCAGAUCAAGCUGUCUCCUAAUCACGUGAUACCAUCGGCUGAGGAGUUAAAGAGGAUGAAAUACUGCAAGUGGCACAACGCAACUUCGCACGACACCAAUGAGUGCAAAGUUUUCAGACAGCAGCUGCAAUCGGCUAUAGAGUCUGGGAGAAUCAAGUUUGACAGUUCUAAGACCCAGAAACCGAUGAAGAUCGAUCAACAUCCUUUCCCAACGAACAUGUUGGAUGCUAAGGGAAAGGCUAAGGUUUUAACAUCGGAAGCAGCCAAAAGGAGUGCAUCGGUAGAUCCUCAGCAUCAGGUCACUACUGCCGAUGCAAGAGGAAGAGGCUUGGUCCAGGAAGGAACCAGCUCAGGGAGGCCUCCCUGAUCUGGUAUCGUUAUAACCCACAGAAGGCCUCGGGAGAAUUGGCAACAACAUGAAGAUCGGUACCGGCGCCAGCAAGAGGAUCAUCGUCGGGAAGAGAAAAGACGCUGGCAAGAAUGGAAUCGGCACAGGGAUCACUGGAAUUGUCCGUUCUUCAUUCAUUGUUAGGAGGAGAAUAUUAAGCUUCCCACUGUCAGAGACUGCCCUGAGUGCAACGGUUAUGAUCGGUAUGAUAGGUCCGAUCGGCACUAUCACGACGAUAAUCGGCGAUCUAAUGGGCCGAUCAGAGGAAGAGCGUCUGUUCAUGAUCGGCUGGGGGGCAGGCUCAGCGUGAACGACAGGCUUGGUGAUCGUGUCCAAUAUUUUCCCAGGAACCAGGAAGAGCUCGAAGAGAUGGCUAAUGCACGAGUUCCCGAUGAGUUCAUAUUUUGCAGGGAUGCCAAUACGUAUCGGAUGGAGUGAGGGGAAAGUCGUCGCCCUGCAGCAAGGCAGAACCCGCUUCCUCCAUGGUGUCCAGAGGGGUUGACCAAGACAAAAAAAAAGGAGGUUGCAAAGCGAAAGGCGAGAAGGGCUAGGCAAGGGCGAGAACUCUGGUCAGUCUGGGGAUCAGCAGCAGUUAGGUCCCAAAGGGGAAGGUCCAUCGGCAGACGUUAACAUGGUCUUUAUGUUGCCAAUGGAGUUUCUUGCUCCAUCCACUGAUGAUGAGCUGGGUUUCUCUGACCAAAUACCUCAAUUGGCUCUGGAUCCGAUGACAGCUAUCUUCGAGAAGCCUGCCGAUGAUGAGAGGCAACAUCUCAGGGCCCUGUUUGUCAAAGGAAGGGUUGAUGGGCAGCCGAUGACCAAGAUUCUAAUUGAUGGUGGGGCUGCUAUCAACAUCAUGCCGUAUGCAGUGUAUCGGAAGCUUGGGAAAGGGGAUCAAGAUUUAACCAAGAUCGAUAUGAUGCUUAAAGACUUUGAAGGGAAUGUGUCUCCGGUCAAGGGGGCAAUAUGUGUGGAGUUGACCAUCGGCAGCAAGACCUUGCCGACAACCUUCUUCAUGAUCAGUGGAAAGGGUGCUUACAACUUGUUGUUGGGAAGAGACUGGAUUCAUGCUAAUUGUUGUAUCCCAUCUACAAUGCACCAAUGCUUGGUUCAAUGGGUAGGUGACAAGAUUGAGAUUGUCCUAGGAGAUUCUUCUUACGUCAUCGCAUCGGCAGAAGCGGAAACCUAUGAAAGGACUAGGUGUAUUUCGGGAGAAGUAUGGGAAAAGGAUUUUCUCAAGGUUGCCGAUUACGAAAUUCCACCGAUCCAAGCAGUCGGUUCCGAGGAUGGUUUUUAAUGGACAAGUUCGCCGAUGAUGGAAAGUUAGGCCAGGGAUUCACAUCGGCCGAUGAUUUGGUAGAAGUACAUAUAGGUAGUGGUGAUAAGCCUAGACCCACUUUUAUUAGUGCUAAGUUAGAUUCUGAGUGUAGGCAACGGUUAACCGAUUUGUUAAAGGAAUAUAAAGAUUGCUUUGCUUGGGAUUAUACUGAGAUGCCUGGUUUGGACCGAUCAAUUGUUGAACAUCGGUUGCCUAUUAAGUCUAGAUUUCGGCCACAUCAGCAGCCAGCUCGCCGAUGUAAUCCUAAUAUUCUUCCUGACAUCAAGGCCGAAAUAACCAAACUUAUUGAGGCCAAAUUUAUUCGGCAGUGUCGGUAUGCCAAAUGGAUUUCCAAUGUUGUUCCGGUCUACAAGAAGAACGGGAAGCUUCGAGUCUGCAUUGAUUUCAGGAAUCUUAAUAAAGCUACACCGAUGGAUGGAUAUCCAAUGCUAGUUGCCGAUUUGCUAGUUAACGCUGCGGCUGGGCAUCGGAUUAUUAGCUUUAUGGAUGGCAAUGCAGGAUACAAUCAAAUAUUCAUGGCCGAAGAAGAUAUUUCAAAAACCGCGUUCAGGUGCCCUGGUCAUGUUGGAUUGUUUGAAUGGAUAGUCAUGACCUUUGGUUUAAAGAAUGCUGGUGCUACUUAUCAGAGGGCCAUGAAUUUUAUAUUUCAUGAGUUCAUCGGCAAGCUGGUGGAGAUUUAUAUUGAUGAUGUGGUGGUUAAGUCUGAAGACUUUGCAAAACAUCUUGCCGAUUUACGAAAGGUGCUGGAAUGUACAAGGAAACAUGGUUUGAAAAUGAAUCCCAAUAAGUGUGCAUUUGGUGUAUCGGCAGGGCAAUUUCUUGGUUUCAUGGUGCACCAGAGGGGAAAUGAAAUCAGUCGAAGAUCUAUUGAUGCCAUCAAUAAGAUAGUAGCCCCUACCAACAAGACCGAGCUCCAAUCCUUGACCGGCAAGGUAAAUUUUAUCAGAAGGUUCAUUUCUAACUUGUCUGGUAAAAUUCGUGCUUUCAGCCCUCUUCUUAAGUUAAAGGCCGAUCAAGAGUUUGUUUGGGGGGAGGAACAACAGUUGGCUCUGGAUGAAAUCAAGAAGUAUUUAAUAAAUCCUCCAGUUCUAAUUCCACCUCAGCAAGGGAAGCCCUUCAGAUUGUAUUUGUCUACCAAUGGGAUGGUCAUCGGUUCGGCUUUAAUUCAAGAGUUUGAAGGAAAGGAGCGUGUAAUUUAUUAUUUAAGCAGGAGGUUGAUUGAUGCUGAGACCAGGUAUUCGGCUAUUGAGAAACUGUGCUUGUGCCUAUAUUUCUCUUGUGUCAAGUUAAGGCACUACUUGUUAUCGGCCGAAUGCACCAUUAUUUGCAAAGAUGAUGUGGUCCGGUACAUGCUAUCCAUGCCAAUUAUGAGUGGCAGGAUCGGUAAGUGGAUUUUGGCGCUGUCCGAGUUCGACCUGCGCUAUGAAUCGGCUAAGGCAGUUAAAGGGCAGGUUAUGGCCGAUUUUGUAACGCAACAUUGUGGUACAGUGGAGGCUUUGGGAAUUGUGCCUUGGACGCUCUUCUUUGAUGAAUCGGCAUAGUGUUAGUUUCCCCUUUGGGAAGGAAGUAUGAGUUUUCCUUGCCGAUUGUUGCCACGUCAACAAAUAAUCAGGCUGAGUAUCAGGCUUUGAUAAAAGGAUUAGAGUUGUUGAGGGAAGUUCAUGCUGAUGCUGUCGAAGUCUUCGGGGAUUCUAUGCUGGUUAUAAAUCAAUUGGCUGGAAGCUAUGAAUGCCGAAGUGAAGUUCUCAUAACUUAUUAAGAGCGGAGCAUACAAUUAUUAAAGGAAUUACAGGGAUUUCCGAUUAGAGUAUGUUCCUCGGUUGCAUAAUGAAGAGGCCAAUCGAUUGGCUCAGCAUGCCUCGGGGUAUCAGCCUAUGAUUGAUACAAUAUCGGCAAUUGAUGCCGAUGAUUGGAGAAAAGAAAUCAUUGAUUAUUUGAAAGAUCCGUCCAAGAAAGUUGAAAGAUGGGUUCGGUUUCAAGCCACCAAGUAUGUGCUCCUCGAAGAUGAAUUGUACUACCGAACUAUUGAUGGAAUUCUUCUUCGAUGCUUGGGUGAUGAUGAAGCUAGAAGUUUGAUGGGAGAAAUCCAUGAAGGGGUAUGUGGAGCACAUCAGUCGGCUUUCAAGAUGAAGUGGAUGAUUAGGAGGAAUGGAUAUUACUGGCCGACCAUACUUGAAGAUUGCUUCAAAUAUUUCAAAGGAUGUCAAGGGUGUCAAAGGUUUGGCAAUAUUCAAAGAGCACCCGCAUCGGCCAUGAAUCCUAUUAUCAAACCUUGGCCGUUCCGGGGAUGGGCUAUUGAUCUGAUCGGACAAGUUUAUCCACCGUCUAGCAAGGGGCAUAAGUUUAUUUUGGUUGCCACUGAUUAUUUCACUAAAUGGGUUGAAGCCAUUCCUUUGAAGAAGGUCACGUCGGCCAAUAUGAUUGAUUUUGUGAAGGAGCACAUUAUUUACCGAUUUGGGAUUCCUCAGACGAUUACUACCGAUCAAGGCACUAUGUUCACAUCGGGGGAGUUUGAUGAAUUCGCAAUCGGUAUGGGGAUUAAAGUGUUGAAUUCCUCUCCUUAUUAUGCUCAAGCUAAUGGACAGGCCGAGGCAUCUAACAAAGGAAUUAUCAAGCUUAUCAAACGGAAAAUUGAAGAAAAUCCUAGAAGGUGGCACACAUUGUUAAAUGAAGCCUUAUGGUCCUAUCGGAUGGCUUGUCAUGGAUCAACUAAGGUUUCACCUUAUCACUUGGUAUAUGGACAUGAUGCAGUGUUGCCUUGGGAAAUUAAGGCUGGCUCUAGGCGACUCUCUUUUCAAGAUCAGUUGGCUACCGAUGAUUAUGCUACUUUGAUGACAGACGAGUUGGAUGAUCUAGCAGGGCAUCGGCUAAGGGCUUUGAUGAGUAUAGAAGAGAAUAAGAAAAGAGUUGCUAGAUGGUAUGAUAAGAAGGUAAAGGCUAAGGAAUUUGCUGAUGGAGACUUGGUGUGGAAAUUAAUCUUACCAAUCGGGACUAAGAGUUCAAAGUUUGGAAAGUGGUCUCCCAAUUGGGAGGGUCCCUAUCGGAUAAGUCGAUCUGCUCCUGGUAAUGCCUACAUUCUGGAAACACUCGAAGGUGUCGCAUUAAACGGCAAAUAUCUGAAGAAGUACUACCCCAGUAUAUGGGUUGAUGCAUGAAGAUUUAAAUGUCGAUGACACUCCUAUCGGCUGGAUUAAAAUGUAUCAGGGGCCGGACUUAAUGUUGCAAAAGGAGCCGAUAACAGUCCUAUCGGCUAGACUAAAUAUCAAGAGAGCUAGAGAACAGAAAGAAGCCGAUGUGUUGCCGAUGAGGAGCUCACAUAUUUAGCAGCGCUUGGAUAGCCGAUAUAGCGCGUAGGCGGAUCUGGUUGGCUGCUUCUAUUUCUUUAAUGUCUUCAUCGGCAGAGCCUUCUAUCGGCUUCAACUUCUUCAACUGAAGCGCCUUGCGACCAUGAGCAUUUCACUCUUGCUCGAGGAGCUUGAUGGUCUCUGGCAGUUGGCUUUUUUCCUGUUGGGCUUGGGACAGGGCAUUCUCCACCUGUUUGAGUUCUACCAACAGGGCUUCUCGUUUUGCCGAUAGGUCGGAAAUCUUCUGUUUUAGUGUGUCUCCCGAGGACUUCAGGGUGCCGAUGUUCUUGUGCUUCUCAUCGGCCAAAAGCUUCUCUUUCAUCAUCUCCUCAGAGAGCUGGGUCUGAGCAGCUCUGUCGGCAAGGCGCCGGGCGGCUCUCUGGUAUUGCAGCUGACGACUUUCUAGAUGUGCGGCCUGGAAAAGGACUUCCUCGGCAUCGGCAGGAAUCUGACCCCUAAGGGUCUUGAACAGAACCUUGGCCGGGUCAGAGUCAUCGACCAGUUGAGCCGUGUCUUGAUGGAGGAGAGCCGACAGUUCUUCCAGCUUGGCCCUGAUCUCUGCCAAUGCGAUCCCAGCUGCCCGGGAGGAACUCGCUUCCUCGCCUUCGUCCUCGGAGAUAUCAAUAGCAAAGGAGAAUAGGCUGUCAGGAGAAUCCUGUUCCUAAAAAGGAAGACAAAGUGAGCCAUUCUAUGGUCAGAACGUCGGCAAAUAAUAUUGAUGGAGAUUGGGUGACUUACUUGCUUCAAGGCGAUCUCUUGCCUUUGACUGGAAGAUGCCGAUGGAACCACGGGUUGAUCGGCCAGAGUUGCUGAUGGAACUACGUCAGCUGGAGAUUGAUAUGAGUGGUUAUAAGAUGGAAAAAUAGGUUCAUUGGCACUAACUUUGUAAAUGUGUUACCUUGAGGAAGGGCAGUACUUGUCUGAAUAGAGGAAACCACCGAUGCUAUGAUGGAACCUGCUGGAUCGGUAGUUGGUUCGUGAACAUCGGCCGAUGUGCCUUCUGGCUGAAGUACUUCUUGUUGAGGUUCUUCCAGUUGAGGUUCUUCCACCUAUGGUGCUUCUUGCAUUGGAGGGGGGAAGGUGCUUGCUGAGUCUCUGCUUCUGGAGGAGAAGGAGAGGAUUCCACCGGAAUAGGAGAUACCGGAGGAGGAGGAGUUGCCACCUUCUGGUGCUUUGUAUGUGCCCUGGUACUCUUGGCAUCUUUUCUCUUCUGCUGGCUGGACUGGGGGGCAUCGGCACUUGUACUUUUGGUUCUUGCCAAUGCACUGGUUUGCUGUUACAGAAAGAAGAAUUUAUGGGUGUUAAUAUAGCCGAUGCAAAAGUAAAAUCGGUAAAGAGGUUUAACAGUUACCUUAAAAGCCUGUGCUAAGGCGGAAGUAGCUACCGAUGGUGAUGUUUGGGUCCUCCUGGUGGUGAAUUUUUUGAGGCAUAUGCCUCGGUGCACGAUGGCGGCCAGGGUAGGGGCAUUGUUGCCGAUUGAGGAGAUUGGACCUGAUGGAAAUAGGUCAAUCGGCUUGCCACUCCUGCUAACAGAUAGGGGGGUGUCAUCAACCUGAAAAGUCCCACAGAGAGAAAGUUACCGAUGGACAUAAGAAUAUAAAAAAAAAUGAAACAGCAGUUCGAAAAAUACUUAUAGUGCCAUCGGGAACUUGGUAUUCAGGAUCGAUCAAGCCGCGAUAUGUGAGAGCCGAUUUGCAGAACAGAUGUUCCUUCCACUCUACCCACCAUUGCUUGUACGCUUGAGUGAUGAAGGCAGCCAGGACCCACUCUGACAGGUCUACAUCUGUAUCGGCACUUGAUGGCAGCUGGGCUACUCGAAUCCAUUCAAGGAGGCUGGUGAUGGUUUCCCUGGGCUUUAUCACAUCAGCAUGACAGAGUGCAAUCAGCAGCUGGCCGAAAGCUAACUGACAAGCUAGUGUCGAUGGAUUGUAGAAUUCAUAAGUCUGGGGGGAGGUUUUUCCAAUGCCAAAGAAGUUCACUGGUAUGGCUCUGGGAGUCACCAAUGCCAUCAUCAAUUCAUUGUUCUUAUCAAGAGCCUCGUCGAACGGGUUGAAAACUAGAGGAAAUACGGUGUCUGGGUCAUCAUAAGCUAACCAUGCUUGCUCAUCUCUGGCCAAACCCUCAUACAAAGUUUGGAAGAAUCGGCUUACCUGAUCUGGAUUACCCCCUGAACUAGGCAGAACUAUGACAGCUUCAUCAAAGUUUAAGGGAGCACGUGUUGCCGAUUCCUCUUCACUCGACACAUGGUUUUCGGCUAUGUCCCUUGGGAAACGCUAUGUGAAUAGGUUAAAUUCGAGGCGCUUGUGCAGAUGCAGAUUGAGCCACAUAUUGAUAAACCACCAGGGGCCUCCUAAGUUGCCAAUAGACUGGCCAAGCAAGAGCUUCCUAGUUACUUGGUGGAGGAGGUGAUAGGCUGCACCAAGCAGGUAUCGGCCGAGGGGAAAUCGGCCACCAUUGGCCAGAUUUUCUGCUGCUGCUAGAUAAACAGAAGUUGGUCCUGCCGAUUGGCCACAAAACACGAAUUUGUCUAGCCACAUGUUCAGGAAGCAGGUCUGCUCUUUUAUGUCAACAGGGUCUGUUUUGCGGUAUUUUUGGAUAUACCCCGACCAGCCGCCGAUGGUGCGGGUUUCUACCUUAGCACUGGGUUUGGUGUCGAAAAAGUGGGUGCAAUCGGCAGAAGAAACAUCCAGGCCAGUGAGCAUAGCUACAUCGGCAAGUGUAGGGGAAGCAGGGCCAUGGCCAAAGACAAAGGCAUUGAGGGUGUCUGACCAGAAAUAAGAUGCAGCUAUCAACAGUGAUUCAUUCUUGUGCAUAUCGGCAAUGGACAACCUAAUGCAUUGGUCUAGCUUUCUCUCGCCCCACUGAACUUCGUUGGAGUUGCCGACCCUCAAGAACCAAUCCUUCCACCCCACGGUGGGGCUGGGCCAGGAACGAAAAGUAUCCUUCCAUAGGUCCAAAGAAAAAUUCUCCGCUCUAAAAGGGAUCCUGUUGGUUUCUGCGUUUAUAAGGUUGGUUGGAUCUGGAUAGUGCAAGAGAUAGUGCGAAGGACUGACCUCAGGGAUGAUGAAGUUGACGGCCAUUUUGCCACGGAGGAGAUGCUUGAGAGUUUCGGAGUUGGUGAAGAAGGGGCUUCGUCGGGGAUCUUAGAGCUUUUGGAUGGCGCCGCCGUCGGGAAAGUGAAGUUGGAGUUAUGGAAUGAUAUGAUGGGGGAGGAGUACCCGAGAAGGAACUAUUUAUAGGACAAAACGGGCAAGGGCAAAUCGGACUUAUCUCUUUGCCGCAUCCAUGAAAUCCGAGGGUACUCAGGUAGAUAUGGUAACUGUUCGCAUGGUAAUCGAGGGAUUGUGCAGGUGAUUUGACAGGAAGCGGUCGUUAUCUAGAGAUAUUUUACUGUGCGGGAUCUCCUGGUCGGUCCAUCAGCAACGCCUGGUAACGGUCAUAUUGCCGAUAGGAGAGAAAUGUGGAGAUAACCGUUUGGAAAGAUAAGAUACAGGUGUCCUGGUCAGUACAUCGGCAAAUCCCUGUAACGGUAAUAUUGCCGAUACACGACUAAGAUCGAAAUGUCCGUUUAGGGAAGUUGAGGAUUUCGAGGGAUCUGCGGAAGGAUAGGAUCAGAGUUGUUCAGAUUAAGGCUGUCGGUUGCCAGGUUAGGAGCAUUAAUUGCGGAAAAAAGGCAUCAUUACUGCAGAGAAUUUCGGAGCAUUAAUGAUUCCAUACUCCAAAAUUGGGGGGCAUGUGUUGACACCGUUUUUGGGCACGUGUCCUUGAUCGGUAAAAGUAUAGAUCGGCAGAAUAAGGCGGUGGUGUUUGGUCUGUAGGGAGAGUUGCCGAUGGAGAUGGUUGCCGAUGGAAGGGUGAGUGAACGUGAUUAAGUCCAUAAGUGGUGACAUGUCUGUGCCGAUGGCUACGACAAGGAAGUCUGCCGAUGAUAUAGAGAGAAAGUCUGGGAGUUGAUGAUCGGUCUGUGGAGGUGUUCCAGUUUGUUAUGGGGGGAUAGUUUUACGUUUUCCUUAGUUAUUUAAAUCAUUUUGUAAAUGGAUUCUGUGUAAUUUGGAAUUCGAGUUCUAGUCGUGUCUGGUUGUAGCUCUUUGAGCAGGGUAUAAAUGUAGACCCUAGGGCCUUGUAAUGAGACAUCUAUCAAUCAAUCAAACACACGUUUUUUACUCAUAUUCCAGCAUCUACUUUUCGACGACUUCGUCAUACCUUUUCCUUUUCAUUACGAGUUCUUAGGAAUUCGUCGACUUAAGCUCGGCGUGUUCUCAAGUUCCGCGUGAAUACCUCUUAGCCGUGACAUCCGGGCGCAUCGCUGUUGUCAGGACUAAAGUAUUCGAGUUAUCACCUUUGCCGAUAGUAAGGUCAAAUCGGCUAGCACGCCUUAACGUUUGAACCGGGUAUUAGCCCUUUGUGUUUGUAGAUCAGCUUUUGCACCAACAGGGUGUCGAAUCGAUUGAUCUGCUAGUUGCAGGCACAUUGAUGUUGGUUCUAGGUCAUAUGCUCAAGCUUUUUGUAGACUGAUGCUGGCAUCACACUGACACUUGCUCCGAGAUCACAAAGUGCAUUGUUGAAGUGUUGGUUUCUGAUCGAGCAAUCAAUAGUGGGACAUCCUGGAUCCUUCUUCUUCCUUGGUGGUUUAUUGAGGAUGGCCGCACUACAUUCUUCUGUCAGCUUGAUAACCUCAGUGGUGGGCAGUGGUCUCUUCUUGUUAAGAAUAUCUCUAAUGUACUUUGCAUAUGUAGGUACCUGUAUGGCAUCAAGUAGAGGUAUGUUGACAUAUAAUUUCUAAAUGACCUCUACAAACUUACCAAACUGCUCAUCCGACUGCAGUCCUCUGUUUCUUCUAGGAAAUGCAAAUAGUUGGUGUCGUAAAAAUCUUUCCUCAUUUCUCCUGUUCUUGGUGGUUGUAGCAAAUCUUCUGCUUCAACUGGGCUUUCUUCUUCUAUCACUGCUGGUUGCACUGGUGCUGAUGUUCUUUGUUUCUCUUUUGGGUAUGGGGGAUCUUUGGUGGCUUUGCCUCCUCUAGUAGUAAUGUUCUUUACCUGCUCAAUGUUAGUAGCAACAGGCAGUGCAGCAGCUAACUUCAUUAAUUUAAGUUCUACCCUUUUAUUAAGAGUGUUUUGCUCAUCAAAGGCAGUUAAUAGAAAAUCCAUUUUAUUGUGUAUAUCUUAUAUAGAUGAUUCAUUUGUAUCUAGCCUUUGUUUAACUUCAUCAUUAGUUUUGGUUUGUUGAGCAAUUAUCUCUUUUAAUGAAAGUUGCUUGAAAGUAUUACCUGAAUUCAUACCUUUGCUAUUGGGUUGACUCGAGGUAGGUUGAUAUUUGUAUGCUGUCUCAAUGGCCCUUUAAUCUUCUUUGAACUUGGCCCUCUGGUCAAUCCAAUGGAGCAAAUUUUCCAUCUUGGUUGAUAGUGCAUUUACUUCUUCUGGUAUUUCUUCAGUUUGAUGACAUUGUUGAGCUUCAUCUUGGAACCAGCUUUGGUUUUCUGCUAUCUUAUCCAAAAGUAUCUCUGCUUUUCCAAUUGUAAGCUCCAAGAAUGAUCCUUUAGCAGAUGCAUCUAGGCACUCAUGAGCCUUCUGGGUUAAUCCAUGGUAGAAGGUCUGCAUAAGUAACCAUGUGGCCAUUCCAUGGUGAGGACAAUCUGAUAUUAUCAAGGAUAUCAGUAAGGGGUACCCUAACUGAUGUACAUAGCGAGAGCAUCCGUACGUAAGUCGAGGCCUCCGACUCGACGCCCCCCAGUCGUACGCAUGGUCCUCGACGACCAUAGCCUCGAACACGGAGAGAGCGUCGUGCGAAUCGUCUGAGGCUCGACUACCGGCGACCCUCGAAUACGGAAACAGGCUCAUACAAAUCAAAAGGUCUCGAGCGCAAGGACGCCACACGCCGCCUGACGCGGACGCGGGAACCAGUGCAUUUAAUGCGCCUGCCGCGUUCUCACCUAACCCGUCAGUCACGGGAAGUGUGAUGGGGAACAAGCACAUGUCAUGUUGUUCUUUUUGCAGCCUUCCCCACCACACGAGCCAGAGUGUGGCAGGGCGCAGGGUGUGGGUCAGAACGUCAAGUCAAGACCCCCCUCGAGACACCCAAAGUCAGCGCUCUGGCCAGCAAGGCGUUGCACGACACUUGACCCUCGAGUAGGCACGUUUCCUUCCUGGGGAAGGGUCGGGUGACGCAUGACAACACCUCAACCGCUCCAACGCAACUGCCACCAUGACGUACGAGCGUGCGACAGAUAAACCGGUCCAGGACGGCGCACAGGAGCAGGAUUCAGGGGCGCGCGUAAUCAUCAUCAAGGUACCGAGACAAGACGGUUCGAGGCCACGCCGGUACGGAGGUCUCGAGUAGGUCAACGUGCUGCACCCCUAUCGACCCCUACUCUGUCGCCUAUGCAUGUAACCUAGGCCUCCGCUUGGAACUAUAAAAGGGGAAGCUCAGGAGCGGAUACGCAAUACAAGACAUACAUAGAAGAGCUACCAUACUUCAUCCUUUCACCCACACAAACUUGUAUUCACCCCUGUACAAGCACUUAGGUGCAAGAUAAUACAAACACUCCCGCCCGCUGGACGUAGGGCCUUCUCUUGCCCGAACCAGGAUAAAUCUUUGUGUCUUUUCUUGCAUCACCAUGUGGAAAGGGGAGCACGCAUACAAAUUUUACUCGUUGGUGAGACCCCCCGGGGGGAAACACCAACAGUUGGCGCGCCAGGUAGGGGUCCUGCGUGUUUUUCACCGAUUUCUCAUCUCUUUCCAGAUGGCCACUCUCGCUUCACCGAUUCCGCGCUUCACGGUGAUUUGGUUUGGGAGCCUCGAGUUCAUGUCUACCGGCUUUGGCUAUGACAUGAUCCUGCUCUCGGUCAAAGGACCAGGAGGAGCCCGCAUUGCGCCCGCACGAUUGAGGGCUCCGAGACGGCCUCGCGACCAUGCCUUCCCACCCAAGAAGAGGCGUGGACAGCGCCACCACCACUCCUCUGCCUCCUCAUGGUCGCCGGCUCGUGCCAGACGGGUGGUGACGCAGGAGCCGACAGUCCCGCGCGCCGAAGCUGCGAGUACAACGGCCCGACGUCACGAGGAUCGCGCGACGAUGUUGGGAGACGACGCGCUCUCGUCCUCUCCGACACUGCUACCGCACGGGCUGUUCGCCCAGGGAGAGCGCUACCGUUCGGCCUGGACAACGCCGUUGCAUCGCUCGCCAGGACGAUAUGCCCGAACGCUCAGACGUACGUGGAGCAACCAAUGGUCCUCCCACAAGACGUUGGAGCACGGCAACAAGCGACUGAGCUACCGGAUUUCUCCCAGGUACGAGGCCUCCGCCGCCUAGGACCUGGGCGAUACACGAUCACCUCACUCAGGCAACGGCUGCUGGAGGAGGGACGAGGAUGCUUCUACGCCACCAAGCCAGACUCCGACUCUGAGUCCGAUAGCUACGACCCUACUAGGGAAUGCUUCAACAUCGACGGGGAGGUGGAAACCACCGACGAAACCCAAGAUGCCGUCGCCGGCGGUCGAGCCCCUGUGGCAAGGGAGGACCCCAGGACGCCUGGGAACAACGGACAAGUCGACCCCCCACAAGAGGACAAAGCCACGCAACUUGCGCAGUUAUGGGAGCUCAGAGCAAAGCUCGAUGAGGAUCGCGAGCGCCUUGUCGAGCUCGAGCUAAUCCUCGAGCAAGACCAACCUGGCAGAGGUGCCCGCAGGCGGGCUCGAGAAGUACACCGACAAAUUGUCGGGGACGGGGAGCCAGAACAGCCCGUCAGCCGUUUUCCUCGAGCAGGGCAGAACAUCGUGGUGGCAACGAUGCUGCUACGUAACAUGCCUGAGCCCUCGAACUCCCAGGCUCGGCGAAUUCGAGACGAGGUGCAGACUCUGCUCCAAGUAGUGGCGGCUCAGCAGGCCGAAAGCACGGCUUCUCGACGUCGAGGGGCAGCCACGGAGAAAUGUGAUGAGCCAGUCCGAAAUGAAAGGGAGGUGUCGGUCCAUGAGCAACCACCCCUCGAGCAAAGAGGACAGCACCUGUUCAAAACCACCCCGUCGACAAUCAACGGCGACACGAUGCAAGACACGACAUCAACGAGUACCGUCGUCGCCGACAUGGGGAUGCAGAGGAGCGCGGGUACAGCGCCCACCGCGGCAGGCGAUACGACAGUGACGAGGACCGAAUUGCCCCAGAACUACCAGGUCCUCGCGUGUUUAGCAGAGCAAUCCAUAGCACGCCGCUGCCCAGCCCAUUUCGACCCCCUACUAGCAUUGCUAAGUACAACGGCGAGACCAAGCCAGAACUGUGGUUAGCAGACUUCAGGCUAGCCUGUCAGCUGGCAGGUGCUCGAGGGGACGAUCGAGCCAUCCUCCGACAGCUACCGCUUUUUCUCUUCGACACCGGCCGCAGAUGGCUCGAUGAGCUUCCGGCUAAUCAGAUCCACGAUUGGGUCGACUUAGUCAGAGUAUUCGAGGGCAACUUCAAAGGGACCUACAUACGGCCUGGAAACUCGUGGGAUCUCAGCAAGUGCAAGUAGAAGUCAGGAGAAACUCUCCAAGAGUAUGCUCGACGCUUCUCAAAACAGCACACCGAGUUGCCGCACAUCCCAGACCAUGACGUCAUCCUGGCCUUUGUCCCGGGCACCACCAGCCGCGAUUUGGUGCGGGAAUUGGGCCGGAAUCGCCCUCAGACCGUCGACGAGCUGAUGGACGUAGUGGCGAACUAUGCUGCAGGGGAGGAAGCAGUCGGCGCUUUCUUCAGCUGCGAAGGAGGCAAAGGCAAGUCGCCCGCCGAUGACGACGAGGGCCCCAGUCGAGGACCUAAGAAGAACAAAAAGAAGAAGAAAGCGUGGCCGUUCGAAUCCGAGGCCAUCGACGAUGAUCUCGUCGCCGCCAUGGAGCGUAAAAAGCCUCAAGGGCCCCCAGAGGGGGCUAUCUUCGACAAGAUGCUAAAGGAGCCCUGCCCUUACCAUAAGGGAGGGGCAAACCACAAACUCGAGGACUGCUGUAUGCUAAAAAGGCACUUCGACGGCCUGGGGUUCAAGAAGGAUGACCAGAAGAAAGAGAAGAACGGCGACAAGGGGGACAACAAAGAAGAUGAGGGUUUCCCGGCCGUCCACGACUGCUACAUGAUCUAUGGUGGACCCUCGACGCAGCUAACUGCAAGGCAGCACAAGAGGGAGCGCCGUGAGGUCUUUGCGACAAGGAUGGCGGUGCCCUAGUACCUCAACUAGUCAAACACCCCCAUCACCUUCAAUCGAGACGACUACCCUGACAAGGUAGUCGCCCCUGCCGUCUACCCACUCGUCGUCGACCCCAUCAUCGUCAACACCAGGCUCUCGAAGGUGCUAAUGGACGGUGGCAGUUGCUUGAACAUCAUCUACCUCGAGACCCACGACCUCCUUGGCAUCAAUAGGGUGCAGCUCCAACUAAGCACGGGCGGUUUCCACGGUGUCGUGCCACGAAAGAAAGCGCUGCUGGUAGGUCGAAUCGACCUGCCGGUCUGUUUUGGCACGGCGGCCAAUUUCAGGAAGGACGUUCUUACCUUUGAAGUGGUGGGAUUCUGAGGCACGUACCAUGCCAUCAUCGGGCGCCCAGGCUAUGCCAAGUUUAUGGCUAUCCCCAACUACACCUACCUGAAGCUGAAGAUGCCCGGGCCCAAGAGGGUCAUCACCGUCAGCUCCUCCUAUGAACACGCGUACGAGUACGACGUCGAGUGCGUCGAGUAUGGAGAAGCUGUCGAGAACUCCAUCGAGCUCGCCUCGAAGCUUGAGGCCCUAGCUAUCGAGGCUCCAGAGCCCAAGCGUCACGCGGGCAGCUUCGAGCCGACGGAAGGAACAAAGAAGAUCCCGCUCGACCCCAACGGCUCCGACGGCAAGGUGCUGACGAUCAGCGCCGACCUCGACCCCAAAUAGGAAGCCGUGCUCGUCGACUUUCUCCGUACAAAUGACGACAUGUUUGCAUGGAGUCCCUCGGACAUGCCAGGCAUACCGAGGGAAGUCGCCGAGCACUCCUUGGAGAUUCGAGCCGGUUCCAAGCUAGUGAAACAGCGGCUGCGUCGUUUCGACGAGGAGAAACGCAAGAUCAUUGGCGAGCAGAUCCACAAGCUUUUGACGGCCGGAUUCAUCAAGGAGGUUCACCAUCCCGACUGGUUAGCAAAUCCUGUACUAGUUAAGAAAAAGAAUGGGAAAAUGAGGAUGUGUGUCGAUUAUACGAGUUUAAAUAAGGCAUGUCCAAAAAGUUCCUUUCCCUUUGCCACGCGUUGAUCAAAUUGUUGAUUCUACCGUGAGAUGUGAAACCCUUGCCUUCCUUGAUGCAUACUCUGGCUACCAUCAAAUAAAAAUGAAAGAGUCCGACCAGCUCACGAUGUCUUUCAUUACGCCUUUUGGGAUGUACUGUUAUGUAACCAUGCCGUUCAAACUUCGAAACACUGGGGCAACAUACCAGCAGUGCAUGCUCCAUGUGUUUGGUACACAUAUAGGGUCGAUGGUCGAGGCAUAUGUCGACGACAUAGUCGUCAAGUCAAAAAAGCGAGGAGACCUGAUCCAGGACCUCGAGAUCGCUUUCAGCUGCCUACGCGCUAACAAGAUCAAGCUCAAUCCCGAGAAAUGCGUCUUUGGCGUACCUCAGGGCAUGCUUUUGGGUUACAUAGUUUCCCAACGCGGCAUCGAGGCCAAUCCCGAGAAAGUGUUGGCCAUUAUGAGAAUGGGGCCGAUCCGGGACGUAAAGGGGGUGCAAAAAGUCACGGGUUGUUUGGCAGCGCUAAGCCGUUUUAUCUCGAGGAUGGGGAAAAAGCACUGCCACUGUAUCUACUCUUGAAAAAAGCCGUGCAUUUCUCUUGGACCCCCGAAGCCGAGGAAGCCCUCGACAGCCUGAAGAAGACACUGACCUCCGCCCCGGUCCUGGUCCCACCUCAGCCUGCAGAGCCUCUGCUUCUGUACAUCGCCUCGAUGACCCAGUUGGUCAGUGCGUCGGUGGUGGUCGAAAGGCAAGAAGAAGGACAUGCGCUGCCAGUCCAAAGGCCAGUCUAUUUCGUCAGCGAGGUACUCUCAGAGACCAAGGUGCGGUAUCCACAAAUCCAAAAACUAAUCUAUGCAGUGAUCCUCGCCCGACGUAAGCUGCAACACUACUUCCUCGGCCACCCUAUCAUAGUGGUCUCAUCAUUCCCCUUGGGUGAGAUCAUCCAAAGCCGGGAGGCCACGGGGAGAAUCGCCAAAUGGUCGGUCGAGCUCAUGAGUGAGACCCUCACUUAUGAGCCCCGCAAAGCCAUCAAGUCUCAAGCUCUGGUGCAUUUCGUCGCGGAAUGGACGGACUCCCAGCUCCCCCCGGCUCAAGUUCAAGCAGAGCUAUGGACGAUGUACUUCGACGGGUCUCUCUUGAAGACGGGAGCUGGAGCGGGUCUGCUGUUCAUCUCACCUCUUGGUGUCCAUAUGAGGUACGUUGUCAGAAUACAUUUUGCCGCGUCCAACAACAUCACGGAGUACGAGGCCCUUGUCAAUGGGUUGAAGAUCGCCAUCGAGCUAGGAGUUCGGCGCCUCAACGUUCGAGGCGACUCCCAACUCGUCAUCGACCAAGUAAUGAAGGCCUCCAACUGCCACGACCCGAAAAUGGAGGCGUACUGCAAGGAGGUACGUCGGCUCGAGGACAAGUUCCACAUCCUUGAGCUCGUCCUCAUCGCCCGACGCUACAACGAGGCGGCCGACAAACUCACCAAGAUUGCCUUGACCCGGGGCACAGUCCCGCCCGAUGCGUUCUCAAGAGAUCUGCACGAGCCAUCCGUCGACUUGGGCUCGGGAGCUGACGUCGAAACCACCGCCCUCCAACAAACCGACACCACCGACGCCCUGCUAGCGGCGGCAGAAGUAAUGGAGGCGGAACGGCGGCCCGGUCGACCGUUCGACUGGCGCACACCAUUCCUUGAUUGCCUGAUUCGAGGCGAGCUACCAGAAGAUCGAUCCGAGGCCCGCCGUAUCGCUCGAUGGGCCAAAUCACACGUAAUCUACGGUGAAAAUAACGAGCUAUAUCAACGAAGCCCGACUGGGAUCUUGCAGCGCUGUAUAACCAUAAAGGACGUCCGAAAGCUCCUCGAGGAUCUACACUCGGGGGCUUGUGGCCACCACCCUGCUCCGCGGACCCUCGUAUGGAACGCUUUCCGACAAGGCUUCUACUGGCCAACGGCCGUAGCUGACGCUAUCGAGCUCGUACGCUCAUGCCAUGGGUGUCAGUUUUAUGCCAAGCAGACACAUCUUCCCACCCAUGCUCUCCAGAUGAUCCCCAUCACGUGGCCAUUCGCAGUGUGGGGUCUUGACCUCGUAGGGCCUCUACAGACCGUCAACAAAUUCUCCAAAUGGAUCGAGGAUCGACCCAUCACAAACAUCCGCUCUGAGCAAGCUGUCCUUUUCUUCACCGACAUUAUCCACCGGUUUGGGAUACCCAACGUCAUCAUCACCGACAACGGCAAUCAGUUCACCGGCAAAAAGUUCUUGGACUUCUAUGACCGGCAUCACAUCCGUGUGAACUGGUCUGCAGUAGCUCACCCUCGAACUAACAGCCAGGUCAAGCGUGCCAACGGAAUGAUAUUGCAGGGGCUCAAACCAAGAAUCUACAACCGGUUGAAGAAAUUUGGCAAGAAAUGGGUCGAAGAGCUUUCUUCGGUCCUAUGGAGCUUAAGGACGACGCCAAGCAGGGCCACGAAAUACACCCCGUUCUUCAUGGUCUACAGCUCUGAGGCUGUGCUCCCAACAGACUUGAGUAUGGGUCCCCUCGACUCAAAGCCUACAACGAGCAGUCAAAUAAGGAGACUCGAGAGAACGCGCUCGACCAGCUCGAGGAAGCUCGAGACAUGGCUCUCCUCAACUCCGCCAGAUACUAGCAGAAGCUCCAACGCUACCAUGACAAGCACGUGCGCAAAAGGGAUCUGAACGUGGGUGAUCUCGACCUACGGCCGCGGCAAAGCAACCAAGGCCGCCACAAGCUGACUCCGCCCUGGGAGGGCCCAUACGUGGUGGCCGAGGUCCUGAAGCCAGGGACAUACAAGCUCGCGGACGAAAAAGGGGCGGUCUUCACCAACGCAUGGAACAUUGAACAGCUACGUCGAUUCUACCCCUAGAGUUUCAAAGCUUUAUGUUCCCAUGUACUUUCUGUACCAAGAUCUUAUGAAUGAAUGCAUGAAAGAAUGAGAUCUUUCCCCCGAGUAAUUUAAUUAUUUUUCGCUGGUUAAAAUCUCGAAGUUAGAAGGGAGUACCAACUAUGACCCAUCAUAGUCGACACUCCCUCGGGGGCUAGCAGGGGGGACCACCCCCCAGGUUCCUAAAAACCAAGUGUGUUUUUUUCUUUCCUAUCAAGUAAAGCUCGCACGGUCGAGUAGUGGAGGCACCUCGAGCCCCUUAAGGGCCGAGAGACGACGAGCCUGAGAACUCCUACGCCCUCGGGCUAUGGUAACUCUACUCACUCCCUCACCCUCGAGGCAAUCGAGGUCUCCUCAACAAAAGACCAAACGGGGAAUAUACACGUAGAUAGAAAGGGAAACAAAAAAGAUUGGGAACACGGCCAUAAGCAAAUAUUCACAGAUCUUAUAAACCACUUAAAGACACACUCUUUCCUUAAGAUAAAAAGUAUUGUACAAGGGGCCUCAGUGCCCAGAAUAGGCUCGCAGGCCUCAGUCUGUGUCUCAACCCUCUCCACCAGCAUCUGCGCCCGAGCUAGUCUCGGGAGGAAGCACUUUCGGCUCGAACAACUUCGCUAACCUUUCCCCAGGGGCCUCCGCAUCGUCGAUCAAGGCGUGGAGCCUCUCCUCGUUCUCUGCGUCGGCCUUGGAGAUGUUGGUGACGAAGCCGUGGGACACCACCUCCAUAUCGUAAGAAAAGCCUGAGCAGACAACCGCCAUUGCCCGCUUCACCCCGGUAUGAAGAGCGUCCCGCACUCGAUCCCUCAGCGUCAUGCCUAGGUAGCAAAGCUGAUCGACCAGCGCGUCGCCUCGUGCCUCCUCCUUCGACUCAUCCACAGGCUCCAGCUCCCAGGAGGCCGAGAGGUCAUUUAUCGCGGUCCUUAAUCGACCGUUCAAUGCAACCUCCCCCUCGAGCCGAUCCUUGGUGGAGCGGGCCUCGACAUGAGCAGCCAAAAGCUCGUCCUUAAGCCCUGCAGAGACCGAUGCAUGAAAAUUAGACGACACCAAAAAAAAUAUACCUUGCUAAAAGAAGUAUAAAGAGGCCUACCACGAAUCUUCUCCUCUAGAGCAAUGUUUUGACCAACCAAAUCGGUGUUGGCCCUCUCGAUCUCCUUGUGAGAGCGGGCUAGGUCGGUGUUAGCGACCCGCAAGUCCUCGAUCGCCUUGCCCGCCUACGCGUAGCUCCCUCCUUCUCUAGCAGCGCUCUCUUUAGACGAUCAACGUCAUCAGAAAGGCUGCGAGAUCGAGCCCGUUCCGCCUCGAGAUCCUCGAGAGCCUUCUUCUUGGCCACCUCUGUGGCGCUCCGAGCGAUCUUGCCCUUCACGCAUUCCACCUUCAUCUCUUGGUAGGCCUCUCGGGCAGAGGCAAGGUCAGCCUUGAUAAGGACCUUCUCCUUGUCAAGAUCGGCGGCUGCGUCUUUAUAAAAUUUGGCCUCUGCUCCUCGAGAUGCUCCCACUUUUUGGCCUCCUUCUGAUCAUCCAUAAAGAUAUUAGGCUCGAACGGGUCGGUGGAGGCCCGAAUGCGGAUCCGAUUGGGGCCCCAGUUCUCCAUCUCCUCUUCCGUGCGUGCCUUAACGCACCGGAUGAGCUCUUGGACGGUCUCGAGCGAUCCCCCAUGACGUAAAAAUAGGUCAAUAAGGGAGGGGAAUCGCCCGUCGUCGUCUACCGCCCUCUAGGUACCAGUCUCGCCGGCACCACCGCCGCCCGAUGUCCCGGCUUCAUCCUUCGCGGCGGUGCUAGUGUCCUCCCACGGUCGUCGUUCUCAGAGGAAUCCAGGAGCGAUCCCCUCGAUGUCGUAAACCGUGCCCUUAAUCUCCGACUGAGGGUCCACCGGGGUGCGCAUCAUGCAAGCCAGCGCCACCACGCCAUCCGCCCGCCUUGGCUCAGCUGGGAUAGAAGUGGGCGCUCCCGAACGUAGCCAUGCAGGAGUCGGCGGACCAUAGACCGACAGACCCUCCUCCCCGGCCUCAGGCCUCUGAGGCGACGGUGACAUUGGCUGGGGCGGGCUUCGCGGCGAUGGCUCGAGCGGUCCUUCUAACUACUGACUCUGUUGUUGCUGCUGCCUCUGGAGUUCCAGCAGCUCUUGCUGCCUGUCCUGCUCUAGCAGCUCCUCGAGCCGUUCUUCUUGUUGCCACCACCCCUCUUAUCUUUCCUCUCCAUCUAGCCAUGGUUGCCGCUGACCCUCCUGUAGCUGUUGCUGUGACUCCCGCCCGCGCUCUUCCUCUUCCUUCUUUCUCUUCUCCUCGACGGAGUGGAGCCUGAUGGGCCAAGGCGUCCGCUUUGCGACAAGGGAAGCCUCGACCUCCUCGUUCAUGGAGCGGGCAUCCUUCAAAAGCCUGUCGCCGCUGGACCCACCACUUAUAGUGAUGGGAUCCCCCUCAACCCCAGAUCGG